rnacentral:rRNA from 2 species
GCUUAGCCCUAAACCUAAAUAAUUUAAUAACAAAAAUAUUUGCCAGAGAACUACUAGCCACCGCUUAAAACUCAAAGGACUUGGCGGUACUUUAUAUCCAUCUAGAGGAGCCUGUUCUAUAAUCGAUAAACCCCGCUAUACCUCACCAUCUCUUGCUAAUUCAGCCUAUAUACCGCCAUCUUCAGCAAACCCUAAAAAGGCAUUAAAGUAAGCACAAGAACAAACAUAAAAACGUUAGGUCAAGGUGUAGCCAAUGAGAUGGAAAGAAAUGGGCUACAUUUUCUUCAAAAAGAACAUUACGAAACCCUUUAUGAAAUUAAAGGAUGAAGGAGGAUUUAGUAGUAAAUUAAGAAUAGAGUGCUUAAUUGAAUAGAGCAAUGAAGUACGU